ensembl:piRNA 21ur-24 ncRNA
UAGUCAGCUAAAAUGGUUCAG